rnacentral:snRNA from 1 species
GAAUUUACCUUUCAGGGGAGGCACCAUUAUCACAUAGGUAGUUUUUUCCAGGGUGAGGCUUACCCUUGCCAGAUGUGCUACUCCUGUCAUUUCCCCAAAUGUGGGAAACUAGACUGCAUCAUUUGUGAUAGUAGGGUACAA